UGCCUACCCGUCAGGACCACACUUCUCCCAGAGGCAGGCUCUCCCCGCAGGCCAGGGCACAUGGCGGCAGUGGGGGGCGGGCAGUCUGGGGGCCGGAGCUGGCCUGGAGCCACAGACCUGUCCACAGCGAGAACGGGCCAGAAGCAGAUGCAAGCGGGACACAGCCGGAGCCGGAGCCCAGCGGGGACCCUGCGGGGGCGAGCAGCAGCGCAGCGCCCACCAUGUGGCUGGGAGCCCAGAACGGCUGGCUCUACGUGCACUCGGCGGUGGGCAACUGGAAGCGGUGCCUGCACUCCAUCAGGCUGA
rnacentral:lncRNA from 1 species